rnacentral:rRNA from 1 species
UGGGGAAUAUUGGACAAUGGGCGAAAACCUGAUCCAGCCAUGCCGCGUGUGUGAAGAAGGUCUUCGGAUUGUAAAGCACUUUAAGUUGGGAGGAAGGGCAGUAAGCGAAUACCUUGCUGUUUUGACGUUACCGACAGAAUAAGCACCGGCUAACUCUGUGCCAGCAGCCGCGGUAAUACAGAGGGUGCAAGCGUUAAUCGGAAUUACUGGGCGUAAAGCGCGCGUAGGUGGUUCGUUAAGUUGAAUGUGAAAGCCCCGGGCUCAACCUGGGAACUGCAUCCAAAACUGGCGAGCUAGAGUAGGGCAGAGGGUGGUGGAAUUUCCUGUGUAGCGGUGAAAUGCGUAGAUAUAGGAAGGAACACCAGUGGCGAAGGCGACCACCUGGGCUCAUACUGACACUGAGGUGCGAAAGCGUGGGGAGCAAACAGG